rnacentral:rRNA from 1 species
UACGUAGGGUGCAAGCGUUGUCCGGAAUUAUUGGGCGUAAAGAGCUCGUAGGCGGUCUGUCGCGUCUGCUGUGAAAACUCGGGGCUUAACCCCGGGCCUGCAGUGGGUACGGGCAGACUAGAGUGCGGUAGGGGAGACUGGAAUUCCUGGUGUAGCGGUGAAAUGCGCAGAUAUCAGGAGGAACACCGAUGGCGAAGGCAGGUCUCUGGGCAUUAACUGACGCUGAGGAGCGAAAGCAUGGGGGAGCGAACAGG